GUCUUAAUUGUGUAUUUGUUUUUCCUUUCUUUUCCUCAGUCUUUUCCUUAUGUAUUUUGAGAAGUUCCCAUUUGCAGUCAUGUGACCCGCUGAUGAGGACAUCUUUGCUAAUUAGUGGGUGACCACCGUUACCCUGCUGCAAUCAAUUGCUAUCAUUAACAAUUUAUAGAAGGCUAAAUUGUUCCUUUGUUGUCUGUCCUCCCAUGAGAAAGGCUCAC